rnacentral:rRNA from 1 species
UACAUAGGGGGCAAGCGUUAUCCGGAUUUACUGGGUGUAAAGGGAGCGUAGACGGCGAAGCAAGUCUGAAGUGAAAGGCGGGGGCCCAACCCCCGGACUGCUUUGGAAACUGUUUUGCUUGAGUGCGGGAGGGGCAAGCGGAAUUCCUAGUGUAGCGGUGAAAUGCGUAGAUAUCAGGAGGAACACCGGUGGCGAAGGCGGCUUGCUGGGCCGUAACUGACGUUGAGGCUCGAAGGCGUGGGGAGCAAAC